AAAAUAAAAAAUAAGCACAUCAUUCAUAUAGACCCAGCAUCAAACAGUUGAUGUGCAUGAACAAAACCCAAAUUACCUUCCGUUCCGCCGAUUCGACCAAAAUCCGAACAAUUCGGCGAAAUUAGAACAAUCUCAAUUUGUGCCCAUUGAAGAAUCCCACAAUUUUCCUCCUUUUUUUUUCCCCCUUUUUUCUCUUUUUUUACGGAAAAAAUUAAGACCCUUGAAAUGAGAAUUUAGAACAGAAUAAGCGGAAAUAACGCUUAACGAUCCAACACCGGUAACGGUUCCUUUUCGUUCUCUUUUUCUCCAUUUUUUUCACACCGCUACUCUCUAAAGAAAAUAAUUACAACGUCAUCCCUACGAAAUAUUUUAUAAUUUUGGGACCAGAAUUAUACAUAUACAAAGAUCAGCACCCGGGAAAUUCAAGUUCUAUUUUAAAUUAAAUAAUGUUGGUUCAAACAUCCUAUGAUUCUCGAAACACUCUAAUAACUCAUUAAAAACUGUUUAAUUUAUACAUCCUCACUAAAAACUCAACAAUUAUAGGCAUAUUUUCAGAAUUUAACAAAUUUUGAGCACAAAGAGUGGUUUAAAAAUGUUAUGUGUCUAAACAUUGAGGGGUUUUUUGUCAUUUAAAAUUCUUCAUAAAGCAAAAUUAAAUGUUUGGUGUACCCGAAGUCAAAGUAGGUCAAACACGUGCUUCGAAUUUUAAAUUUUCUCUAUUUUUCUAAAUUUGAUAAUAUAGGAAAAAGAUUUUUUUUUUCUUUUUAACUCAGACUUUUUUGUUAAAUGCAUUAUUCCUAUCAGAUCAGGAUGAGAAUAAAAUAAUUUGAUCAAAUUUGACUUCUUUUAACUUUAAAUUUUCUCUAUUUUAUUGUGAUCUUUUUUUGUCGAGUGAGUAAUUUUGCAAAAUUUAUAAUCUUAUAAAAUUUUCAAAACCUUGUUAUUCGAACUUUUACGAUUUUAAUUUAUAUACCACCGAUAAUUUUACUGCAAAAGAAAAGUUUUUUGAAUGUAGAAUUUUUGAAUGUUUACAAUUUAGAUUCCUGCUCUAUUUAGUCUACAAUCUACUGAAAAAAUUUUCAACUGAAGAAUUAGAAACAUUAAAUAAAAUUGAAGCCUUGGCUUUUAGGACUUGAAACUUGGGAGUCUUUUGAUCUACAUUAUAUCAUCAAUUAAUAUGAGAGUUAGUUUAGUCUCAAUAGUAAUUCUCUUUUAAAUUUAACUAUUUUGAACACUUGUUGAGGGGCAUCCUAGCUAUCUUUAGAGGUGGUUGAGAGGACCAUUCAUUGCUUAGAAUAGAUUUACUCAAAAAAGUUGCUCACGAGUCACGAAUGAAUUUGAAAGAAAAAAAAAAAAAAAAGAAAAAUCCCCCUGAAGCAUAACAAUCAGCAGCUCGAGAAUUCAAACAAUUAGCAAAAUUAUUCACCUUUUCUCAAGUACAAAUUAUUUUACAAGUGAUUAAUUUAGAAUUUACACACUGCACAGAACAAUCACAUUAUCAGGAUAUAGGCUUUUUCAUGUUUUUCCACUAUUUCCAGCAGAUGAACUCAUCAUUAGAACACUUCCUCUAUAACUUGUAGCUCCAAGAUUGCAACCAAAUCCCUCUAAGGUUUCAGAAUUCGAUGAGAUAUCUGGAUCCUCGCUACCCCAAAGGACGAAUUCUGAAUUUUGUAGCAGAUUGCCCGAGGCGAUCCUCGCAUCUCUGAAGGGCGGGAGGCACUUCUCCUUUGCGAACUCAAUACAGGCUUCUUUGGACGCCGCGAGACAUAAAGCCAUCUCACGCUCUUCGCACCGCUCUCUAUCUGCAAAAUCUGCCGCUGAAUUCCCGAAUAGGAUCUUCCACCAUGGAGGCCUGCAUUUGUUGGAGGCAGUGAUUGAGCACCCAACUCGCGCACCAGCCUGUUGAAUGAGAGAUGAAAUUGAGUAAUACAAGAGUGUAAAUUUAUCGAAAUAAUCAAGAGUGUCGUAAGAAGUGAGAAAAAAAUGAUAAAAAUCAUGCAGUAAUUAGAAUUUACAAGUCAAUCGAACUCUCCUGCAUAUUGUGAUAAACUUGGAAGUAGGUCUAGGAGGGGUGGUGUUGCUACUGCAAGCUCCACUAUUCAAGAAUCAGGAUUACAAUUUUGAGCUCGUCCACAGACAUGCACACAUGCACGCAGGUCCGCCUGUUCGUGCAUGCAGGCUAGUGCGUGCGCAUGCGCGCACACAGCUAUGAGCUGUUUCAACAGAUUUAUACCAAAAACCCAAGUGUUUAUAUUUGAUUUUGAAACUUUGAACUUAAGGGUGAAAGAGCAACAUAGUACACGAGAGAAAAAGAGAGGGACUAGAAAAGAAACGGAGUUUUAAUUCAACAGAAGUAUGCAGCAGGUUUUAAACAAGAUCAUUCGUCAAACAGAGAAAAAAAUGAAUUUUUUUUUUAUAUAUAAUCCUAUCAAUUUUUACAAUUAUAAAAAUAAUCUUCUAAAAAAAAUAAUUAUAAAAAUAAAUUUAUAAAUGCGGUGAAUCAUUCACCGCUUUCAUAACUCUAUUNUAAAAAAAAUAAUUAUAAAAAUAAAUUUAUAAAUGCGGUGAAUCAUUCACCGCUUUCAUAACUCUAUUUAAAACAAAAGUUAUUUUAAAUGCGGUGAAUCAUUCACCGCUUUCAUAACUCUACUUAAAAUUAAAAGUUAUUUUAAAAGCGGUGAAUUAUUUACCGCUUUCUCUCUCCAUAAAAAAAAUUGACGAAUGCGGUGAACCAUUCACCACUUUCACCACCUACAGAGACUAUAUUUACAAAUAAAAUUUUAUCAUAUCUAAUUUUAAAAUAAAGUUUUUGAAGAAGACUAAAUUACUAAAAUCUCCGAAAAAAAAAAUCAAUUUAUCAAGUGAAUUAAGAUCUUAAAAUGCUUAGAUUUGCAUUAAUACCAACAUAGACAAAAAAAAAAAAAAAAAAAAAAAAAACGAAUCAAGAUCAUCUGUUAUUUGAUUUAGUAGGGUUGGAGCUAAGAAGAAGUAACUUCAGCAUACAAAUAAGAAUAGUCUCGUACUCUCCCUAUAUACACCUUCUUUUUAUUCAUUUUCCUGAUUGUUUUACAUAACAUGACAAAUCAAGAAAAACAGAGUAAUUUAAUGGAUUGUAGCGCACUUGUCAAACCCGACUACUAAUGCUCAGCAGCCGAGAGCUGGUUUUUGCGCUCUUUUCAUCUGUGCAGCUGAUAAACUUACUGACUGGCAAUACUAGAGCCACACAGCUCGGCCAGCUGCAGAAAUAAAAUUGAAACACAAAGAAUUUAAGGAAAGGAAAAUUCAAAAAGCUUAGUCCUCAUCCGAUGGUGUUUCUUUUUUUUUUUGCUCCUUUUUAAUAACAAUUCUAUGCGAUGGACAUGCGUUGGCGGAUGACGAGUUGCUCGUAAUCUACACAUCUGUAGGGUUUAAUUGGCACAUGAGACAGAAACAAUGUAGUACAUUUUCUCAUUCCGUGUGUUUCUUUCGAAGAACAUGCCCUUCCUCAUCCGGCCAAGGCACACUGCGAGCUAACAAACAAAGACAAGAUACAGAAGUUCAUGCGCCGAUGUCUCUGAUCAUACAAUUUGUGUUUAAAAGGAAAGCUUUUUCUUUUUUUUUAAAAAAAAAGGACCAAAAAACAACAAUGUUACUAAACUAGAGUUAUAGUCUAAGUGGGAAUGAAAAGGAUAUAGCAAGCACCGAACUUGUCAAUUAUAACAUGAACACAUGCAUCAAAAACUCAAAAAAAAAAAAAAAAUCUUCUUUUCUGUUUUUCUUUUUUCUGGAUAAAAUCACAAGAGCCCACCAAUUUUUCCCAUUGCAAUUUGGCACAAAUGAACCCACAAGCUAUACUCCGAUUGCAAAUUUGGGCAACAUAUCAUACAUGGUGAAAUCAAAAUAUAUAUAAAAGAACUCCCUGAUUACCUAACGUUACCAAGUUUAAUUUGAUGCAAAAAAAAAAAAAACAAAUUUGGCCCACAAAUUUUAAAUUGGCGUAUGGUUAGUGAGAUCCAUAGCAAGAAAUUGGAAGGGAGAAAAGGUUGGUGAGUUAACUUUGCAUCAGAUUAAAGACAAGCUAGUGGGUCAAAAUGUAAAUUACCAAAAAAAGUUGAAGUUUUCACGAUUUGAACUCUUUUUUCAUCCAAAAACAGAAGCAUUUAACUCGGGGUUUUCCAUUUUCUCCAGCUAGGGUUUGAAGCGAUUAGGGUUUUGGAGAGGGAGAGGGGGAGACAACGAACGAACCUCGCACUGCUCCCGGACCUUGGACUCCGCGGCGCGAUAAGCCAAUCUCCAGCUCCGGGCGUCGCGGAAGGCGAGGACGAAGGGCCCCGCGGCCGGGUCGUCGUCGGCGGCGGCGGCGACGGGGCCGCGCAGGAGCGGGAGCGGCGGGUCGAAGGGGACGACGGUGGCCGAGGCCGAGUACUCCUCCGCGCCCUCCCCCCGCAUCGCCUCCGCCUCCUCCUCCUCCUCCUCGUCGCCUUUCGCCAUUAAUGGAGAAGGGGAAGGUGCGGAGGACGAGGACGAGGACGAGGUGGCGGCGAAUUGGGGUUAGAGAAGGCGCAGUAGAGAGCGUCGUCGAAAAGGCCACAUUUUUACUCUUUCAUAGGGACAUAACAAGGGUAAAAUGUAUGGAUAGUUCCUCUAAUAUAUCGAUAUUGCUAUUCGGUACCUUUUAUUUUCUCUCUCUCUCUCUCUCUCUCUUUUUUCCUUCACAGGGUGUUUGAGUUUUUGAAAUAUUUAUCUUAGAAAACAAUUUUUUGGCUAAAAAAAUAUUUUUAAAGUUUUUAAAAUUUUAUAAAAUAUAGUAUUUUUGUUUUAAAAAAUAAUUUUUUAUAAAUUUUUGAGGAACCAAAUUUUCUUUUUUUGUGUGUGACUGUAUGAUUUGACUUAUUUAUUUUAUGAUGUUGUGGGCUUGAUACAUGCGAUCCAAAUUUAACACUAUAACAGAAUUUUAAUUCGAGAUCUAAUUGCUGACUCCAUGUAACUAAUUAUUAGGCUAUAAAGGUUUUCAACAUUAGUUUAAUUCGUUUAUUUCAAUCUACUCGAGUGUAAAAAUAUACAUGUGCAUGUGCGAUUAAUCUUUCUAAUAUUGUUUUUAUUUUUAAAAAAAAGAGUAUCAGUAUACUAUCAGUUUUAUGUUUUUAGAAAUAAGCUUAGUCAAAUAUGUGAAACAAUCAAACUUCAAAAUUAGAACUUUAAAUACCAACCAUAAAACCUUUUUCUUUUUGUGUUAAGGACAGUUUAAAAUCUCUCUAAUACUGUUAAUUGUGCUUUGUCUUUUUUAUAUUUAAGAUGGUAAGAUUAAAGAGAGAGAGAGAGAGAGAGAGAUUAUGAUUCUUACUUUAAGCUUCAUUGUAGUUGCCUAUGUCAAAACUCACACACAAAAAAUGGCUAAAUUACAGAAAAUUAUCUUAUAAAUAUUUGAUUCUUUAUAUUUUUUUGGAAAACUUCAAAAAUCUCUCCUGUGGUUUCGUAGUUUCUCACUUUGCUUCCCUGUGGUUUACAAUGUAUCAAUUUGCUUCCCUUUGCUUUCUUUUUUCUCUUUUUCUUAUCAAUUUCAUUAUUUUUUUCUUAAAUCAGUGAUAAAGUUAAAAUUAAAGGGUACUAAGUUGAAUAUUUGAUAAAUCUAGAUGAGUAUCUGAAGUUUUUUGUAUAUAAUUUAAUAAAAUAUUAACGAAAAAACUACCGAAAAGAUAAAAACAAAACCACAGGGGACAAUUUGAUACAUUUUAAACCACAGGGCGGCAAAGUGAGAAACUACAAAACUAGGGGGGGAGGGGUUGAAAUUUUUCUUUUUUUUUCUAACUUUUAAAAAUUUAUAUUUUAUCUUUUCAAUAUUUCAAGUUAUUGCAUUUAGCCCUCCUCUAUCAGGAUGCCAUCAUUAUACUGUUUAUUUCUUAUAAUUUAUAUUAAAAAUAUCAUUCAAAAUCAUAGAAAUAUAUUAAAAUUUUCUUACAUAAAGAAGGGUAAUUUAGUUAUUUUGCUCUCUCCAUUAACGUCGUAUCCCUUUAAAAAUAUUUGUAAAAUUUUAAAAAAGUAAAAUAUAAAUUUUUAAAAGUCAAAAAGAAAAAAAAUGAAAAAAAAACAGAUAUUUAUAAUAAAAUUUCCUGUAUUUUAGCCCAAAAAAAAAAGUCUAUAUGUUAAUAUCCAAAAAGCCAAGAGCACUAGUCCCAUUUGUAAACACAUAAAAUUAUGGGCACAAAUGGAUCUGAAUUGGUGGAGCUUCCGUCCAGAUUCGUCCUGAAUAGGGCUGUAAGUGAGAACUAAAAGGAUAUAAAAAAAUAAUCCGUUCUGAAUCCGUCUCAAUUCACAAAAUAAAUGGAGUUACAGGUGGAAGACCCUUUCUUCUUUUAAUCGCUCCACGCUCGAUUCGUCUGAAGUAGAACGAUAAGUGGAAACCAAAAAUAAAAUUAAAAUUAACACAUCUCAAAUCUGUCCCGACACGAUAAUAUUACCGAGCAGGAGUUAGGGACCCCUUCCGUUUCCAAAUCUACCCCGUCUGCAUCCCUACACAAAAUAAAUCCUCUUACACUAAGCUUGAAGGGUUACAAAAAAUUAAAAUAUAUUUUAAAUAAUGUAAAAUUUUUAACAAAAGGGCAUUUGGUCUAGUGGUAUGAUUCUCGCUUAGGGUGCGAGAGGUCCCGAGUUCAAUUCUCGGAAUGCCCCCCUAAUCUUUUUAUUUACACUUUUAUAAGUAAAGCUACUAUGUUUUUCAUAUUAGUUAGUUUUGGGAGGAAAUAAACCAAACCAAAUUUAUCUUAAUUGCAAACUAUUUUGAAUUGGUUAUGCAACUGUUUAAAAUUUUAAUUUUAUUAUCUAAUUUUUUUAAUUUCUUUUAUUGGAGUUAGUUAUUAAUAUUUUGGACUUCAAAAUUGAAGCUUUUUAUUUAUUUUUAUGAAUUUAUAAUGGCAAAAUUAGUAUAAAAUAUACUAAACUUGUAAAGAUAAAUGAUGCAUUUAAAUUUUGAAGUCAAGAUAUCAUUGACUAACUGAAAUCAAAUAAAUUGAAAGAUUUAAUAGCAAAAUUAAAAUUUUAAAAAAAUAGAUAGUCAAUUUAAAAUGAUUUAUAGUUUAAAUAAUUCUAAACAUUUCCCCCCCUUUUUUUUUUAUCGUGAAUCCUGACAUUUGGUAACAGAGUAGAAAAUAUAAGGCCUUCUUUGAUAUUAUCAUUAUUAGUUUCUAUUUUUUUUUCUAAACAUUAAUUACGCUUCUAAAUAUAAUAGAGUUAUAGUUGAAGUUCAUACAUUUUAGAGUUUGUCAAGAAAUAUUAAAAACUUCAAAAUAUUAUUUUUAGUAAAAAUGUAUAGAACUUAUCUAAUCUGUAAAUUAUUUUGAAUCGACUAUCCAACCUUUCCAAAUUUUAAUUUUAUUAUUCAAUCUUUCAAUUUAUUUAAAGGAAAACUUCAAAAACCCUCCUUGUGGUUUUAAUUUUUUUCACUUUAGUACCCUGUGGUUUAAAAUGUAUCAAGUUAGUACCCUGUGGUUUCUCACUUUAUCACUUUAGUAUAGUUUUAGGUACAGGUUUAGGUAUAAGCAGCCCAAAGAUAAAAAAUAUAGGUAUAGGCUUAAGUAUAAGUAUAGGUAGUUUAUAUAGGCAAAGUAAGCCCAAGCCUAAGCCUAUUUUAAAGCUUAUAGGUAUGAGUAACUGUAGGGAUUGGUUGGUAGUUCGAUAAUCAGUCGAAAACGAUCUAUGUCAGUCACGAUCCGACGCUGCUGCUACAGUCUUCCAUAUAAGAAAACUAUUUCAUAUUUUCACUGUUUUUUUUCUUCUUCUUCUAUUAUUGUAUGUUUUAAAUAGAUUUUAUACGUAAUAAAACUUUGUCGAUAGUCCAGAAAGUUUUAAAAUUAAAAUAAUAGAUUAAAAAAUUAAAUAAACUAAACUCAAUCAGCUGUCAUGAAAACUGGAAUUUUAAAUUCCACUAAUAAACUUAAUUAUUUAAAUAUUAACGUUCUUAAUGUAUUUUAAAUGAUUAAGUUAGACAUUUCUAUUUGUUGCGUAAAUUUAAAAUUUCAAUUUUACCCCGAUCAACUGAAUUUAAUUUAUUUCCUUUUUGAAGUUUUUGGGAGGUCACCAAAGUGUAAAAAAGUAAAAUCAUGGUAUAUCAAAUUUCACAUAGUUCAAUCAUGGAACACCAAAGAGUGAAAUAGUGAAAUCAUGGGACACCAAAUUUCACAUAGUUCAAUCAUAGGACACCAAAACGUGAAAUAGUGAAAUCAUGGGACACUAAAGUGUGAAAUAGUGAAAUCAUGGGAUACCAAAUUUUUUGGUGUCCCAUAAUUGAACUAUGUUUUAAUUUUGGUGUACCAUGAUUUCACUAUUUCACGUUUUGGUGUCCCNAUAUAUAUAUAUAUAUAUAUAUAUAUAUAUAUAUAUAUAUAUAUAGAAUUGAGCCCCUAUGCUUUUAAAAGUACCAAGUCAUUGGUGCUUGUAAGUUUUUAGCCCUUGGAUUAAUAGAUAUAUGGUUAGAAUGAUGUGGGCCCCCUUGGGUUAAGUGGGUGGUUGUUUGAAUAGUAUAAUCUAAUGGAUAAAAAUGAUCAAAGUCAUAGAUCUAACGGUAAAAAAUUCACAAGCACCAAGUGCUUGGUGCUUUUACAAACACCAUAGCCGGACUAUAUAUAUAUAUAUAUAAACUUGAUUUUAUAUUUGAAUUUAUAUUUUAAAAAUUUGGAUUUAAUAUAAUAUAUUUUAAAAUAUUGAAAAUAAAAAUAAUUGUUUCGGGUUCAAAUUUUCGGAUUUGGGCUCGGGUUUUGAAUUUUUGGUCGGGUUUGGGUUUGGAUAUGAAUUUUUAAAAUCCGUCGAGUUCGGAUUCGGGUUCGGGUCUCGGGUUUGGAGUCGGGUUCGAGUUCGAGUUUUUAAAAACCCAACCCGUUGACAUCUCUACGGUUGGCAUCCAAGGUUCCAAGUUUGAGGUAUAAUUAUUUCACACUUCUCGAACAUCACAUCCUCACAAAUAAUAAUGAAUUUGAACCACAUUGGUAGCAAACAAUCAUGCUAUUUCACUGUGUUCAUGACAAUUUUUCCUUCUCCAAAAAGAGAAUAACAUUUAUCAUUACUUUGUUGGCGAUACUCUUCACAAUCAAAACAAAUAACUGAAACUUACUAUCACUUCAGUCAAUCACAAAGAAUUAAAUUAACAGGGAAAAACAAAUCAAUACCAAAACUCUCUACUUCAGAAUAACAAGUCCAAACUGAUACUGUUACCCCAAAAAACAAAAAAGGAAGAAGCAAAAGUAAAGAUUAUACAUUACAAUCAUACAGUUUCAAUCAGAAAAAAAGAGAGAAAAAAUAAAUUAACCUGAUGAAGGUACAGCAUAGAAGCAUGUCACAGACUCUUAGCCCUUUAGAUUAAAGACCAAACCGCGAUUGGAAAAUUUUCUUGUUCACAAGAUUCUUGUCGGAAAAUUAGAAUCAAUGAGAAAUAAUCGAUCAGGGGAUAGAUCCAAGCCCCAACCUUGAUUGAUACCCGACCUUUGGGUUCGAUGAGACGAAUUCUGGCGGGGGGUAACGAAAGAGACAAUUGAAAUAAAACGCAACAAAAACACAAGAGCUUGUUUGGGCUGAAGGGAGGUGCAUCAAGCUAUCGCAACUUUGCCGUACAUAAAUUAGAAAGAAAAGGUUACAGUCACUAAAGAAACUUCAUGUCAAAGCAGGACUCAUUGCAAAAACAAGGUCUGUCGGUCCUGCCUGCGGUGAUUGUAAGAUAGCAGCAAUUAUACCAACAUACAUGUUUGUAUAUGGCACUAAUAGAAGCAAAUUGGCAAAAUGAGCUGUGCAAAUGGAAGAAUUAGAAUAGAUAAUGACCAACAAGAAGCCUGAAGCAAAUUAAUAAUACACUAAAGAACUUGGGGAUUACCUUUCUACCGAGCUACGCCUUUUGACCGAUAAAUCCAAAACUUUCUGGUGGCCAGAUCUGGACAAGACAACGACUAAAUAAUGUCAGAAGGGGUAAAGAAAAAAACCCACAAAUCGUAAGAUGACACACCGUAAAUAACCAGAUAUGCAAGAAACACUAUGACCUAUGUGGUAGUAGAAAAUGAAGUUGAAAUGCUUAUGCCAAGCACAAGGAAUAAGCAUAAGAAGAUUGAAGAACAAACAUUAUAAAAUUAGUCCAACUGCAAUGCAAAAUGCUACAGAAAUUCCAAGCAUUUGGAAUUAAAAUCGACUCAAAGUUCUCUUAGAAAAUUCAAUUGGCUCUUCUAAACCUUGUUCAACAGAAUGACUUUUUGUACACUCACUUUAGCAUGCAUUCUAACCACAAAUCCCAAAUUCAGGUUUUAAGUGGUAGAUGUGGUAUAAUUGCCAGCAGUCACUUAUGUCUUCUUUUUUCACCAGGUGGACUAUAAGAACUUGGCGGUACUGCGUCAAGCUUUGUCUUGACAAAACAACAAUGUAAGCCAUUAGGAAUACUUGUGGAAUGGCAACAGGCUUAGACAAUAGAUGGAACAAUAAAAUGCUCAUUAAGAAAACAAAUAAAGAACUGCACAAUAUUGCUAAGUUUCUUAUUCUUGCUAAUUAAAUUGGAGUCUAGCACAUUCUAAGGAUUAAGCCCGUUAUGCUUUUUGAAAUGCUCAUUAUAGUCAGACGAGCUACCAGAAUUAUAUCCACGGAGAUCAAAGAGAGGAAUAUCGUAGCAAUAGAAUACGGACAACAUUGAGAGCAUCAUCUCCUAUGACUAAAUUACAAAUAACAGACAUACACUCAAUAGCAAAGCUUGUCUUAUGGACAUAAGAAAUGAAAGCAACAACAUACAGAUAUAAGAGAACUCUAACAAUGAGCCAACUUAAAAUCAACUAAGUCACUAGGAUUGUUUAGCCACCAAACUCUUCUACACCCACUAGUAACACUUUGACGCUCCUUAAAACUCUAGUUUCAGAUUCUCAAGUAAAUGAAGAAAAUCUGUCACUACCCAAAAAGCAAUACAUCUUCUCUAAACUUCAAAAUAUGGAAGUUUGUUUUGCACUUCUAAACAUCCGUCCUUACGCUUACCGUCCAACUUCAAUAUUCAAGAAAAACACCCCUUUUUAGUCUCAUGGUGGCUAAAUCAAAUGAAAUGGGUGAUUUAAACAUUAUCUACAUCAUGACCAGCACAUCAAAUCAUGUUCUAAACGAACGACGAAACUUAAAUUUCAUUCUUCCACAUCAAAUUGAGCUAUCAAACCCACAUAAUACCAAUUAACACUGAAUCAAAAGCAAUAAGCUGGUAACAACAACAUAAUCGAUUCAAAAGGAGUCCUCUUUACCCUACAAAAGAUCCUGCCCUGUAUCAAUCCAUACGGCACCGGCCCGAACUGCCUCGAAUCCCUUGAAGCAUAAAUGUUAUCCCCCUGCACCCAAACAUGCCCUUUGGGCACCUGCAAAAGAAACAAUCCAAAAUUAUCACCAAAAAAACUAGUCAAAAUCCAAACUUUUAGCCGAAAAAUCACAAGAUCGAUCGAUCGAUUGAAACAUAGCGCACCACCGCGGUCUUGGACUCGUCGCCCUUGGCGGGAUCGACGAGGUAGGUCACGGCGUCGCCCUCGAGCCCCAUGAUCCGCUUGGCGACGGUCUUCCUAGGGUUUUCCGGGGACAGGAGGAGGACGACGUCCCCCACGGCGACGGAGCCCCACCGCGCGGUGAUCCGGUCCACGGCCACCACGUCGCCGGUGAGGUUCAUGGUCGGGAGCAUGCUUGGGCCCAGCACCUGUAUAUGACGAUGACGUCCUCUUAGAGAGAGAGAGAGAGAGAGAGAGAGAGAGGGAAAAGGGGAGGGGGAGAGUACGAAGGCGACGCCGCAGAGGUGGGCGUUGACGACGUGGACGGCGCAGAGGGUCUUGGCGAGAGCGGCGCCGCCGAAGACGGCGGCGGCGCGGCUCCCGAGGGACAUCGGCGGCGGCGGCGGCGGCGGCGGCCGAGGGGCGGGUGGUGGUGUAUGUCGCCGGGGGUGGAAUUUGGUUGUGAACGGAGUGCGGGUACUAUAGAGAAGUAAAAUUGCAGGAAACCCCUUCGAGUGUCUCGUAAUUAGUAUUUCAAAUUUUUCGACGAUACAAGAAAGAGAUUUGCGAACAUGGAAUGAUGGAAGCGCUCAUAUAUAUAGAUAAGUAAAAAAACUUAUAAAAAUUACGUAAACUAGACCAUUUAGUUUAGAGUAAACUUUAAAUACCAUCACUGUAGUUUUGCAUAUUCUCAUUUUAAUAUCUUACGAUUUAAAGUGCAUCAAAUUAGUAUCUCGUGAUUUUAUUUUUCUCUUUUCACCCGCUCCUCCGUUAAUAUUUUGUUAAAUUAUAUACAAAAAACUUCAGAUACUCCACCUAGGUUUAUCUAAUAUGCACUUUAGUACUCUUUAGUUUUAACUUUGUAACUGAUUUAACGAAAAAAAUUAAUGGAAUAGAUAAUAAGAAGAGAAAAAUAAAACAACGGGUACUAAAUUGAUAUACUUUAAACCACAGAGUAUUAAAGUGAGAAACUGUGAAACCACAUGGGUGAUAUUUAAAGUAUUUUCUUUGAUUAUCUAUCCAAAUUUUCAAAAUUUUUAUUUUACAGUCCAAUCUUUUAAUUUGAUUAGUUUAAGCUACGCGACAACACUUUAACUUUAAAAUUUAAAUUAUUACUUAUUUUAAUAAAUUUAUAGUUACAAGAAUUAUAUAAAAUAUAUUAAUUAAACCUUUAAAACUAAUGAUGUAUUCAAAUUUCAAAGUUACUUGUCGUUGAAUGACUCAAAUCAAAAAAAUUUAAAAAUAAAUAAUAAAAUUAAAAUUUUAAAAAAUUAGAUAGUCAAAAGGAAAAUAAUUAAAGUUCGAUUAAGUUUUAUACGUAUACACUAUAUUAGUAUUUUAAAUAAGUCUAAAAUUUACAAAAAAAAAGAUAGAAUUUGGUAUAAAUUUUUUCAGAAGUAAGUUCACAGGCGGUGCUAGUUAACUCAUUUUAAAGUUUAUCUGUAUAAACUUUAUUUUAGCAAAAUUUAUAAAUAAAUUCAAUGAUUAUCCUUAAUAUUUGUUUGACACAUUGAUAAAAUAUAGAGUACAAAUUAGCAUAAUUUUUAACAUUCGAAAUAAUUGAAAUAUAAGCUAAAAUAUCAAAGGAAUUUUUGUAUAUUUGGUCCUUUAAUUUUGGUGAAAACUGUAUGGAGACCAUUCUCAACUAUAGGCUAUUUUGAAAUCACCCCCUUAAUUUUAACUUUUUUAAUAGACACAUCCUUAUUAACUUCACAUUUCCAAAAAUUAAAUUAUAAUUCAUUAUCUUAGUGAAUAAUAUAUAUUUACAGUAGAACAGAAAUAAUAUAUUAUUAUAAAGUAAUAACAUAACCUUUUUAAAAUUACAAGAUGGUUAUGUGGAAAUAUAUCUAACUACGGCGGGCUAUUUGGAAUUUACCAUCUAUUUUACACGUGUUGUCUUUCUACUGGUCCGGUCUACCAGAUUGGUCCAUGAUAAUUCCCCUUCUAAUCCACCGAUCUCUUCGAAGGCUAGGGUUUUCGAGCUAACGCACUAGAUAAGUACCAACGCCUACGGUUUCAGUGAACCUUCUCGUUCGCCUCCCCCUUACGAGAAACCCUAACCCUCGCAUCCCUCGUCCUCCUUCCGAGGCGGCGAGGAGCGGCCAUGGCGGCGACGCGGGUGCUCUCGCAGAAGGAGCAGGACAUCCAGAUGAUGCUCGCUGCCGACGUCCACCUCGGCACCAAGAACUGCGACUACCAGAUGGAGCGCUACGUCUUCAAGCGGAGGACCGAUGGUAUGCCCCGAACCCUAAUCCUAACCCAUCAUUUUACCCUUGGAUUCAUGCUAUUGAUGCUUGAUCUUUGGGGUCUUGUGCUAUUUCGCUUCCAUGUUGCGUAAUUGAUUCGUGAACUAGGAGAUGUGAUUUGUGUUUAGUUGCCUUGGAUUUUACUUGAGGUUGCCAUGGAUUUGGUUUGUUCUAGAUUGCAAAAGCUUCGAUUUUGCAUGUGUACGUACUACGUAGCCUCCAUGUACCCUUGGUUAUGCUAUUGAUGCUUUAUCUUUAGUGUUUUGUGCUAUUUCGCUUUUAUGUUGGAGAACCGAUUCAUGGACCAGGGUAUGUGAUUAGUAUUUAGGUGCUUUGGGUCUUAAUUAAGGUUUUCAUGGAUUAGUAUUGUUGUCUAUAGCAAAAGCUUUGAAAGUAUAUGUAGUCUCCUAUGUUGCUCAACCUCUUUACUGUGCCAAGUUAUACCUUUGAGUUCAUGCUAUUGAUGCUUGGCUUUGUAUGUAAUUUUGCUUUUAUGUUGGAAAUUUGAUUUGUGAACUAGGGCAUAUGAUAGGCAUUUAGUUGCCUUGGAUUAUAAUUGAGGUUUCCCUGGGAUAGGGUUGUUGUAGAUUGCAAAAGCUUUGAAUUUGUAUACGUAGUAUCCUAUGUUGCGCAACCUCUUUACUGUGUGAAUCAUGCUAGUGAUGUUGCUCCCUGUUUAUAAUGAUGGAUGGAAGUUGUAGAUUGAGAACAACUUGUUUUAUGUUAAAGAUGUAUGGAGUCCUUUAACUAUCUGCCGUUUUGAAAGAUGCUCUUUCAUUUUUUUUUAAUUGAUUCCCCUUCUAAUUUUUUAUUUGAGUUCUUGUAGUUUAUUAAUGUGAAAAUUUUGUUAAAUUUAAUGGCUCUAUUAGCAUGUAGUAGUUCAAUCUUAUUAGCUAAAGAGUGAUUAAAGCCACUAAAUUUGAUGGCAUCACCGAUAAAUUUAAUAAAUCCCCCCAAUGUAGUUUACUAAAAUCACUCAAAUAGAAAAAAACAAAUCAAAAGUUAGGAGGAUCAGUUAGAGAAAGAGGAAAAGUUGAGGGGGCCAUUUCAAUGGUCCAUGGUUGAGGCCUUGAGGGGUCUGCAUACAUUUUUACCUUAAACUUUAUAUAUAAGUAGACUUGUGAUUGAUUGGCACAAAUGGCAGUUUUAAACCCAAAAAAUAAGAGUUAAAUGUUACCAAAGGGAUAGAAAUUGCCGCUGUGAUUACUACUAGUGGAAGAACAUCGACUGCAUUAUGGGAUUCCUUUUUAUUUUUACUGCUUUUCCAUGAGGCAUGGUCUAGAUAGUUAUGGUCUCUUGAUGCUAAAAUUUAAUAAAUUGCUAAAAUACCAGCUCAAGCAAUGUAAUCAAACUGUUUUUUAUUGUUCUUUGGUCUUUUACACUAAAGAGAGCUUCUGCAUGCCUUUGUUAUGUGAGAAUUUACGUGCCUCGAUUCUGAGCCUUGUCCAUAAUAGAGAAGAAAUAUACAUUAGUUUGUGCUUUAGUUGUGUCAAAGUAUUUGACCAAAUCAUUCAAUGAAAACCAGGGAUGUAUACUAGAAAUCGAGUGAUAUUUUUUUUAUCUCUUGCUCUUUUUUUGUUGUAUGAGUCAUUGUUUUGGAUGAUUGGUGAGCUGAAUGCUGAAUUUUUGAAGAAAGGAGAUUGUAGUUCGCUUCUACUUCUUGCUUAUACAAUUUGGAAAUAUCUUUAUGAGAUGAUGGAUGUAAAACUUACAAGCUACAUUGCUUGGUCCUAACCUCAGGAAUUUACAUUAUCAACCUUGGGAAAACUUGGGAGAAACUCCAACUGGCAGCUAGGGUUAUUGUUGCCAUUGAGAACCCCCAGGAUAUCAUUGUCCAAUCAGCAAGGCCGUACGGUCAAAGAGCUGUCUUGAAGUUUGCACAGUACACUGGCGUCCACCCUAUUGCCGGAAGGCACACUCCCGGAACCUUCACUAAUCAGCUGCAAACUUCCUUUUGCGAGCCUCGCCUUCUUGUUCUCACUGAUCCUAGGACUGACCAUCAGGUAAAAGACAUCAUUGCUAUUAGCUUUUGUUUUUGGUUAUGCUUCUUUCACAUAUGUGCCCCUGCAAAUGUGAGAAAUCACAAACACUACCCCUACAAGUUUAUCCGACGAGAUGGACUAUUCCCUGUCGCGUAAGAUGAGUGUAUUUUUGUAAGCAAGUGAUCUUUCGACAGUUAUAUAUGAGAGCUAGACUUUUCCAGGGGUAUGUACAUAAGAAGACAAUUUUGUAGAGAAAUUUUAGCAGAAUCUCUAUUAAUUGCUUUUAGCAUUUAAUUUUGAACAGCCAAUCAAGGAAUCUGCCUUGGGGAAUAUUCCCACCAUUGCUUUCUGUGACACUGAUUCUCCAAUGCGAUAUGUUGAUAUCGGAAUUCCCGCAAAUAAUAAAGGAAGGAACAGUAUUGGCUGCUUAUACUGGCUGUUGGCGAGGAUGGUUCUGCAGAUGAGGGGUACCAUUCUUCCUGGACGUAAAUGGGAGGUGAUGGUAAGUGAUGAUAAUAUUACAUGGUUUAGUAAACCUUUUUGGUAAAUAUGUAUGGGCCUUACCUGAACUAUCGUAUGUUUAAUGGGCAUCUCAACUUCAAAUAUUUUGAUUUCACUUUUUUAUCAGUCCACCUUUUAGUUGAUAUUGUAAUUUCACUUUUUGGACGAUUGGACUUAAAUUUCUUUUGAUGAGCUGCAAUGCCUUGCGCUAACAUAUAAAAACAAAAGAAAGUGCUGUGAUACCCAAAAAUAAUGGUUUUCUUUCUAUUGGCUGCAAAAAGUUCAAUAAAAAGAUGGAAGCUGUUCCUGAGUUUUUCUAGUUGCUCUUGUUGUGUGGUGUAUGUGCAGGUUGAUCUGUUCUUCUACAGAGACCCUGAGGAAGCCAAGGAACAGGAAGAGGAGGAGGCUCCUGUUGCACCUGAAUACGGCGCAGUUGCUGAUUACACUGGCGUGGGGGCUGCUGAUCAGUGGGCUUCCGACCAGUGGACUUCCGAAGUGGGAGCUGUUCCUCCAGCUGUUCCUCCUGUGGCUGGUGUUGAAUGGGCUGCUGCUCAAGGUCAGAAUCCCUUAAUUAUUUCUUUGAUUAUAUAAGCUCGCAUUUGCUCUUUUAUUUUGGAUCAACCACAGUUGCUGGGGUCUUACCGUGAUCCGGAUCGCACGUACUGAUUUGUGCUGGGUUCUCAAUCCGGAUCACAACAAGUGGUGAAUCAGAAUAGUAGAUAAGUACUUCAACUUUUCUAGAUCUAAUUGUUUUAGUUACCUGUAAGAAAUAUGUUUUACUAGAUAGAAUAAUGUCAAAGAGUCAUACUCAUAUAAAAAAAGUUGAAGCGCCUUUGAUUAGAAGAGAGAGUAACCAAUCUGUUCUUUAAUGAAUAAAGAAUUAUUAGGUAAUGAAGGUAGUUAUUGACUUUUUUAUCAAUGCCAAUCUGUAUUGACGUUCUAAAUGAACCACGUUCCAGAAUAAUGUUCCGACUAAUCCUACUCCCCUCCUACUGCAUUUCUAAGAAAUUAGCAAACCAUGUUCUCGUACUUGUGCCACACAUCACUGCAAAUCCUGUUCCAGGAAACAUUGGGAUCAACUUCUUUAACUUUGCUAGAUGUUAAGUGGGAAAGGUCUAGUGCUUUGACUGUUGCGAGAAGCCGAAAUAUGUUUGUAGGCCCCACAAGUAGAGCUUUUAUUUGAAGUUUUUGCUCCUGGUGCAACUCGAAAGUUGUUGGAAAAUAUGUCGUACCCUCUUGAACCAUAAACACAAUGCACAUUCCCACCCAAAGUUUGGAAAUUGCUGCAAUCAACUGCCGGCUCAAACUUAGUUAUUUGUAAGAAAUUCUCUACGAACAUGAAAGCAAUGCCUCAGAUAUGCCUAAUCAUCUUGUCCCUUUUUUUUUGUUUUUUUUCCCCCAAGUAACAGCUCCGGUGGCUGGUGAUGGAUGGGACACCUCUGCGGCCCCGGUGGCGACCGACGGCGUUGUGGCGCCUAUUGUUCCAUCCGGUUGGGAGGCCGCUCCGCCUGCACCUACAGGAUGGGAGUAAGGAGGGGGAGGGUUGUUUUCGUAGGGAACGGAUGAGUUUAACUUGAGAUAUAGAGCAGUUGCUUUCUGAGAAGACUUUUUGAGAACGAGUUUUUGGAGAUUCUGUUCAGUAGUCUUGUUAUUGUAUUUCUGAGAACCAGGAUACCUACUAUAUCUGUGCUGGUAUUUUAUGCUGGUUUUCGUAUUUUUCUUCAGCUUUCUUUUAAAACAUGGAUUGUAGCCAGAUUUUUCAUGCAGUUGAAGUGUACUAUGAUGAUAAACUAUUUAUUUUUAAACCGAAAUUACUCGGGAAAAAAAGCCCUUAUCGUAGAAUAACUCACCCUGAGCUUUUCUGUUCUUGAGGUCUGCAAAGUAAAAUUUCAAUUUUCUCUUCUUUUGCCGAAUCUGCGGUUGCUGUUUGUGGAGUAGAGAAGCUAUUUUGUUUUGUUGAACAGACUAGCAAAUCCUUACAUUUUGUGACGGGUAAAUUUCAAUUACCAGUAUUAUGGUUUAGCUUAUUUUUAUUUUGUCAUUUUGUAUUUAAAAAAAAUUAUAUUUUGCUGUCUUAUAGUUUUAUUUUUACUUUUUUGAAAAAUUUUAUUAUUAAAUAGUGUAAUUUUUGUUUUAUAUUAUAAUGUAGUGUCGAAUAAUAUAAUUUUUGUGAUAUGUGGUGUAGUUUUAAAUAAUUUUAAAUAGUGGAAUUUUGUCUUAAAUAGUGAAAUUUCAUCACAAAUAAGUGUUUUCUACUUUUUUGAUUUUUCUGUAGUGGUCACCGAAUGGUAGUCUUUAUAUGAGAAGAGAAAUUUAUUUAUUUUUUUUAUUUUUAUAUCCUUUUUAUUUUUUUUAUUUUCACUUCUUGUAUUUUUGUUACUGUGCCUUCUCCCUCGUCUAUCAUGGCGCACUAGUGAAAUACCCGUGCGAUGCUGCGGAUCUAAAAGUAUUUUGACAAUAAAUUUUAUUUUUUUAAUAUUUUUAUAUAGUUUUAUAAGUCUAAUUAUUAAUUAAAUAAAAGUUAUAUAAAAAAGAUGUAAUAGUUAAAUCUAUUUAAAUAAAAGUCAUUAAAAUUGGUAUAUGUGCAAGUAAUUUAUACAUCACUUUAUUUUAUAAAGAGAUAAAUCUUCAAAAUAAUUUUUAAAAAAUCAAUAGAUAGAAGGAAAUAAAUUUGUAGAAGAAAUUGUCAGUAUAUUUUUUAAAUUUUUCACUUGAAAUUUAAAAUUAUGUAAUUUUUUAUACAACAAUAUUUUACGUGAUUUAAAUUAAAUCUAUCAUGUUAGAUUUUAUUAUGCAAUUUAUUACGCGUAUUAUUAAUAAAAUUAAAUUAAUUAAAUCAUAGAGUUUAGAGAUUUAAAAUUUUAAAUUUUGAAGUUACAAAAUUGGAAAUAAAUAUUAUAAGUUAAAAUUGAAAUUUAGAAUUUAAAAUAUAAAAUAUAAAAUUUAAAACUUUAAAAUUUGAAAGUAUGAAAAUUUUAAAUUUUGAUAUAAAAAUUAAAAAUUAUAUAUAUAUAUAUAGAGAGAGAGAGAGAGAGAGAGGGGAGAGUAAAGGAGGGUUUGGGGGUGACACGUGUCACCUUAGGACCCCCCAAACCCUCCUUUAAUGUAGAAAAGAAUAGAUUCUCCCUUCCUGUCCUUCUCAGAUUUUGCGGUGUUCUUGUCACUAUUCAUGAUCAUGCCCUCCACUGCAGCGAAUGUGUGGACUAGAUAGGAGAGAAAGGAAGGGGGAGGAAGCGGGAGAAGAAAAAGGAGGGACGAUGAGAAAAAGGGAGCCGAAGAUGAAGUGGAAAAAUGAACGAAAGAAAUAAAAGAAAGAAAAAAAGAAUCUGGGAGACGAAGAUGAAGUAGAAAAACGAACGAGAGAAAAAAAGAAAGAAAAAAAGAAUAAGGGAGACGAAGAGGAAAGAGAGAAAAACGAAUGAGAAAAAAAGAAGAAAAAAAAAAGAACGAACGAGAAAGAAAGAAGAAAGAAAAAAGAAUAAAGAUAUAAAGGUGUGAGUCAGGUAGGAAAGAGAAGCGCAAAGAGAGACGAAGAGGAUAUUUUGGUCAGAAAUUGAAAAUUCAGAUCUAAUAUAUAAAAUCUAAAAAAAUGGCAAAAUACGUGAAUUUUUUAUGCAAUUUGACUUUUUAUCAAAUUUAGUAAUUUUUAUUAUAUUUUAGCAAAUAAUCAAAUCAACAGAUAAUAGCUAACAAACUCUUCAAAUUUAAUGAAAAUUUUAACUGAGUUAAGUUAAAAAAAAAAGAAAAGGAAAACAUGGAAAUAAAAAAGAUGUGGAAGGAUCUUAAUAAACGAAAGAGUAAAUUUUAAAUACCACCCUUAUAGUUUCGCAUUUUCUCCCUUGAAUGUCCUAUGGCUUAAAGUGUAUUAAGUUAGUAUUAUGUGGUUUUAUUUUUAUCUUUUCGACAGCUUUUUCGUUAAUAUUUUAUUAAAUUAUAUAUAAAAAACUUUAAAUACUGAUCUAGAUUUAUCGAAUAUUCACUUUAGUAUCCUUUAAUUUUAACUUUGUCACUGAUUUAACGAAAAAAAAUCAGUGAAAUGGAUAAUAAAAAGAGAAAAAAGAAACCACAGAGUACAAACUUGAUAUACUUUAAACUACAGGAUACUAAAGUGAAAAAGUACGAAACCAUGGGGGGUAUUUGAAGUUUACUCUAAAAAGAGAGGUUGAAGGCCGAUUUCAAAGAUGAUUUACAGUAGAGGGGUUUCCAAGAAAAGGUCCUUCUCAGAAGACGAGCGACUCGAAGUCUCGAACCAGCUCCUUCUUCCGAUCACCUCUCCUCUCUCACCUCAUCUCCAACCGUGCAAUCCCCAAAACCCUAACCCUAACACUAACCCCCUAACCCUAGAUUUAUACGAACCUCCCUUCUCCAUUGACGCCGCACUCUCUCUCGCUCUCGCUCCCAUCGGAGGGUUGUGGGGGAAAUGGAGAGCCACAAGCGCUCCCUGCUACGCUCCCGCCUCCGCGUGACGGCGCGGCGGCGGGGCCAGGACGUGGGGGCCUCCGGAAGCGGCGGCGUAGGCGGCGGCGCCGCCUCCCGGAGGCGGAAGCGCCGGGAGGGAGGGUGCCUCAACUCCGUGAGGAAGCUCUUCUGCCGCGAGAUCGGAGGCCGAUCGCGCGUGGCCCGAAUCGCCGCCUCCGACGCGCCCGAGAGGUUCCGCAACAUCCAGUUACAGGUACCUUCCUUCGCCUCCCUUCCCUCGUCUCCCCUCCUUUCCUUUUCCCUCGAAAUUAGGGUUUUGGUUGAGAUGCUAGGGAGUUAGGGUUCUCGAAUUAUCGGAAUUCGCCGUAAUCCUGAGAUAUUAUGCUUGUUUUUCUUCUCUUUUUUUUUUGAGAAAAAUUUUGGUAGCAUAGCUUUGUUUUUCUGCUUCUUGAUGGCAUUUUACAUUGGAAGGGACGAUUUUGGGGGGCGGGGAUUGACAUUAGGGUUUGGGUUUUCAUCUGAAAAUUUUGGUGGCUGGAUUAGGCUAGCAAGGUCCAUUUGGAUGAUGUAUUGGCAUUAGGCCAUUAGGGCUUUAUUGUUGUGUUAGGAAUGAUAUUCCUGCAACAUAUACAUGUAAAAGAUUGAUUAAUCAGGGGUUGGCAGGAAUUAGCAUUCAUCACUUAAAUUGUUUAGCUAGCUAAAGAAUUUCACUUAAAUUAUGGUGCAUUUCGACGUAGGUGCCUCGACUUCUUACUAUUUUGAUUUACAAUUAUGCCACCUUUAAGGUCUGUCCGAAUAUUACAAAUUUCCAUCAGAAAAGUUCUAUUUUGCUGUUGUGUAAAAGGAAUACUCAAUUUUGUUGUCUUAUAUUUUGUUGAAAGAGUUAAAUAAGUUAUGAUAGAUAUGGGAGUAAAAUGAAAUUUUGAAAUUUCAUUACCUAUAACAGUAUGCACUAUAUUUUAUGCAAUAUCUGUACAUUCUUACCUACGAGUCAUCAACAUUCUUACCUAUGAUUAAUCAGUAAUAGUUUGAUAUAGGUAUUUUCGAGCAGGUUUUUUUAAAGAUGCCCCCUUUUACAGUUGAUGGAAGGAUAAAAAUGAUUAGACUAGUGUAAAGAUCCGUAUACUUUGAUGAAUCACAGAUUAAGUCCCAGGAAUGGGCCCUGUGCAGUUGUUUUUCUCUAUUCUGUUUGUUAUAUCAGACCCUUUUAUCCAAACUAUGGGGUUACAUUUACAUAAAGCUCAGAAGGCUAUAAAAGAAUUUGAUAGAUCAAUGGCUGACCUAUUUAUGGUUCAUAGGCAGAUGGACUUGGGUAGCAACCGUCUGAAAUUUCUCUUGGGAAACAGAUCUGUUUUUAUUUCUUGAGCAGAUUUUGGGGGAGUGACGACAACCUUUUAAUUUUUCUUAGAUUUUUCCUUUAACAAAUGAGAACUUGUCAUCCUCUAGCCUUAUCCCCGAAAACUCCUGACUCGGACUCACAUUGAACAACUGAAGAGCCUUCCCCUAAACCCUACCCUGGAACUUACCACAGCCAUACCAACGAUUUGUCGUACAAUUUGCUGUUUUACAUGGAGUUUAAUAGAUUUGUAUAAUGUAGAUGCCAGGCUUCUUUUUCCGUAGACAUUGAAUUAAAAGUUUUUAGAGGGCUUAUUUGUUUUUCUUCCCUAUUAAACUAAUAAGUAAUUAUAAGUUACUUAUAAAGGGUGCUAAGUUUACUUGCUCGAAACCAUGCCUUGUUAAUCCUAUCUUGCAAGAGAAGGAUAUCUAAAAUGGACCGUCUUUAAAUCUCUACAGGUAGAAUGAGAGCGUGAAAAACAUCACCUUGUAAUUUACGAAUCACUUUUGGAAAAGGGUAUUGCUAUUUACCUUUUACGAAUAGGUAUAUUAAACUGAUUGGUCUUUAAUGGUGCUAUUUUCCUUUUCUUAAUGCAGGAAGAGUUCGAUACCUACGAUCCUAGUGUUCAUUUGUUUGUGCAGUUACAAUUUCUUGCAAGAAGAUCUAGAAUCAUUGAGAUUGUUUCAGCAAAGGAUGCUAUUUUUGCCCUUGCGCAGUCAGGAUUAUGUGCUGCUUUUUGUCGAAGUAAGCAUUAUGUCCCUACCAAUACUAUAAAAACUUGUCGAAGUAAGCAUUCUGCGGCAUCACUUCUGCAUUUUGCUUUCUGUCGGAAAAUUUACAGAAUAUUCCCUCAGAAUAUUGCAGAAUCUGUUAUGCUCUGAGUUCUAACGGAAUAUUUUGAAAUUAUUGUGAGAUCAAACAAUAUAUUAGUUGAGGGAUGACUUCAAAAAACAAAGUUUAGGAAUGUGUUUCUAGUUGAGACUUGAGUGUCCUUGCACCUUUUUUUCACUGUAAUUGGUAUCUUUUUUUUCUCUUGGCAGCUACAAACAAGCGGUUAUGUUUCUUGAAUAUUAGCCCGGAUGAAGUGAUUAGAAGCCUUUUCUAUAACAAGAACAAUGAUUCACUUAUUACAGUCUCAGUUUAUGCUUCGGACAACUUCAGUUCUUUAAAGUGCAGGACAACUCCAAUAGAGUAAGAACUUCAAUCCAUCCGUUAAGUUUGAUUUUGCUAGUGAAUUCUCUAUGCAAAAUUUUAUUCUUUCAUCCAUAUUUGUUUAUGCUUUAAAGUUUGUAGUAUAAUGUAGUUGCUCUGAUUUGUCACUGCUCACUAUGCCAUUUUUACACAAACAUUUUAUAGCAGAUAGAUGAAAUAUGCAACCAAGUAUCCUUUGGCAGAUUGGCACAUGCCAGGGGCUUAUAACCAUAUUUGGAACCCAAGUUCAUUUUCUUUUUGGUGCUUUACAUUUUGUUAAGACCACAUAUUUACAUUUGUAAGACCAUAUAUUUACAUUUGUAUUCCAAUAAAAUCAGAAUUUUGUAUAUAUAAACCUUAUAGAAGCACAGUUUCUUACCAAAAAUGCUCAUAUCUGAAGUUGGGAAAGUAAUCCAAGUUAUGGGAAACAGUUGGAUUUUUAAUAGGAAAGUUUUGUCAAGAGGGCAAAUUUUUUUGAAGUACAUGGAUAUUCAUAUGCGCACAUGUGUGUAGUAAAUUAGGAUUUUGAAGAGAAAAAAUUUGAAAUCCCGGGAUAUUGUAACUAUAUUAUUUUGCUUUAACAGCAAUGUAUUUAAAUAUCUCAGUUUCUGCUCUACUGUGGUAUUUGUGUAGCAACUUUGAUUAAGAUCUAUAGUUUUCUUGCUAUUGGAGUGCUCAUUCAGAACCUUUAGCUUACUAAUUGUUUGAGAUGCGCCUUUGACAUUUUAUUAUUAAUUUUUGUCAGGUAUAUCAAGAGGAAUAGAUUGGAUGCUGGAUACCCUCUUUUUGAAACUGAAUCACUUAAAUGGCCUGGUUUCGUCGAAUUUGACGAUGUAAAUGGAAAAGUACUAACUUAUUCAUCCCAGGAUGGGUGAGCAAACUUUAGCUCUGCUAGUUCUAAUCAUCAUUUAGCUCAUUUUGUUAAUUUAAUUUAUAUUUCUCAAUAUUUUGCAGCAUCUACAAGGUUUUUGACUUAAAGAACUACUCCUUUUUGUAUGCAAUAUCUGAUAAGAACGUGCAGGAGAUAAAAAUCAGGUUAACUUUUUUUUAUUUCUUCCACUGUUCUUGAUGCUGUAAUUUCAACCUAGAGUUGGCUUAAAUGACUCUUCCAAAUUUCCCUAACCCUCAUCUUUUGAACCUUUUUUUUCCUUUUUCUUUUGGCCGGCGAGCAGUCCUGGAAUAAUGCUGCUAAUAUUUGAUAGAUCACCUAGUUAUGUUCCAUUGAAGAUACUCUCGAUUGAAGAUGGGUCAGUGUUGAAAUCUUUCAAUCACUUGUUGCACCGUAACAAAAAGAUUGACUUUAUCGAGCAGUUCAAUGAGAAGCUUCUGGUCAAGCAAGAAAAUGAAAACCUCCAGAUCCUUGAUGUAUGGAACUCUAGCUUUUAGCCAUUAAUCUCUUUCCUAACUCUACACCAGAUCUUUUUGGACCGUGCACACAAAAGUCCCUGCAAAUUCAACUAUUACAUAUAUGCCCCAGUAAUAACUAAAUUUCUAUGUUCACCACUUCAAAAUGCAGCUUUUGCAAAAAAUAUUUUAUGUUGAAUCAGGGUCAUCCGAUUCAUGAAGGGAAGCUGGUUCUCUACCAGAAAAGGGUUUUACAUGGGUGCAUUUUUCUAAAUUGUAUGGAAUAAGUUUUUGAAGGGCUUGCGUAAAAAAUUAUAUUGUGGAGGGUUAUAUAUGCAGAUAAAAUAAUUUCAUUGGGGUAGAUGUCCAAGAGAUCCCUGUAUCUCUUUGGAGUAUUAUCGCUAUCUCUGUAUCUAUAUCUAUAUCUAUAGAUAUCUCUACAAAUUUUAUGCGCUCUAGAAUUUUUUUUUUUUUUGUUUUGCAUAUAUGCCUUUACUUGCGGAAAAUUUUCCUCUUUGAAAAGUUCUUAUACAAAACCAACUCCCACAAAUUGGAUGAUUAAUCAACGUAUCUUUCUCUAAGCUACUCUAUUUUCAAGGGUCUAUAUGGAAACUGUAUAAGUAAAUAGAUGAGUGCAGGAUAUAAAUAUGCAAAAUAUCUAUAUGUACGAUCUACUUCUGUUUUACUAACAAUCUCUAUAUACCCAAAAAAAAGGUGAGGAAUUCAGAGUUGACUGAGGUGAGCAGGACUGAGUUCUCCACUCCUUCGGCAUUUAUAUUCCUGUACGAGAACCAUCUUUUCUUAACAUUUCGAAACAGAACGGUCGCGGUGUGGAAUUUCCGCGGGGAGCUCGUGACUUCUUUUGAAGAUAAUUUGCUUUGGCAUCCUGAUUGUAGUACAAAUAACAUCUAUAUAACAAGCGACCAGGAUCUGAUCAUCUCAUACUGCAAAGCUGAAGGAGCGCGUGAAGAUGAAGGUGAAUUUGACACACUCUGCUUGUUUGAGAUAGAUAUUUUGUUUUCCUUUGGAUAUAUAUAUAUAUAUAUAUAUAUAUAUAUAUAUAUAUAUAUAUAUAUAUAUAUAUAUAUAUAUUAGAGUAGGGCUACUAUACUAUUAUGAGUAUUGGGCCCUUCGUACUCAUAAGUUGUUUUGAUGAUGAGCUUCCGAAUCGACGAUCCACCCGUUAACAUGAUCUAGAGUAUUUGAAACUUCUAGAAAAUAAAUUUCGUAUUUUCGAAAUCAUAAUAAAAUCCAUCAAGCGGCAUAAAAUGAACAGUCAAAAUCGAACGAUGUCUUAAAAAUGGAUGAUCGGAUCCUUCAAUUUAAGAUCGAGUUAUUGAUCUUUAUCUAGGUAGUGAAUAGAAUUUUCUAUAAAAAAUUCAACCUAUUCGGAUUCUUUUGCACCGUUAAACUAGCAAGUAUUCCAUACUGGCCGUUAAAAAUUGUCAAUUUUGUGAGCUUUUGAUCGUAAGGUAAAUGAUGUCGAAAAAUUAUGAAAUUUGAUUUCUAGAUGUUUCAAAUGCUCUAGAUAACGUUUAACGGUGUGGAUCGUCGAUUCGGAAGCUCUAUCAUCGAAAACAACUUAUGAGUACGAGGGCGAUCAUACUCAUAAUAGUAUAGUAGCCAGACUCUAUAUAUAUAUAUAUAGAGAGAGAGAGAGAGAGAGAGAGAGAGAGAGAGAGAGAGAGAGAGAGAAUUAGGCUACUAUACUAUCUAUAGAACCGGAGCUCCGGUACUAUGGUCUUGUUUUCGAUCUUAGGGUGUUUAAAUUAACGAUCCACACCGUUAAAUAUGAUCUAGGGUAUAUGAAUUUCUUAGGAAUAAAAUUUUAGUUUUUUUCGACAUCGUUUACUUAGUAAAUAAAUUAUGUCAAAAUUGACGGUGGAAAUUGAAUAAUCUUUAAAAUUUGAUCAUAGGACUUUUAAAUUCAAGAUCAAGAAUGCUAACCUUAAUCUAGAUAGUUUAAAGAAUUUUCUAUCAAAAUUUGAAGAAAUUUAGAUUCUUCUACACCGUUAAACUCCAAACUCGCCAUAGUAGCCAUUGAAAAUUGACAAUUUUGAAAUGGUUUGAUCAUAAAGUAAAGUAUGUCGAAAAAAUGUAAAAGUUUAUUUCUAAAAGCUUUAAAUACUCUAGAUCAGUUUUAACAGUGUGGAUCGUUGAUUUGAACACCCUAAGAUUGAAAACGAGACUAUAGUACCGGAGCCCCGGUACUAUAUAUAGUAUAGAAGACUAGCUCUAUAUAUAUAGAGUCCGGCUACUAUACUCUUAUGAGUACGAUCGCCUUCGUACUCAUAAGUCGUUUUCGAUGAUAGAGCUUCUGAAUCGACGAUCCAUACCGUUAAACAUUUUCUGGAGCAUUUAAAACUUCUAGAAUUUAAAUUUUAUAAUUUUUCGAUAUCAUUUACCUUACGAUCAAUAGCUCACAAAAUUAACAAUUUUUAACGGCCGGUAUGUGAUACUUGCUAGUUUAACGGUGUAAAAGAAUCGGAAUAGCUUGAAUUUUUGAUAGAAAAUUCUCUUCAUUACCUGGAUAAAGAUCAAUAACCCCGAUAUUAAAUUGAAGGAUCCGAUCAUCCAUUUUUAGGACGUCGUUCGAUUUUGACCGUUCAUUUUAUAUCCGCUUGAUGGACUUUAUAAUGAUUUCGAAAAAUCACGAAAUUUAUUUUCUAGAAGUUUCAAAUACUCUAGAUCAUGUUUAACGGUGUGGAUCGUCGAUUCGGAAGCCCGAACAUCGAAAACAACUUACGAGUACGAAGGGCUCUAUACUCAUAAGAGUAUAGUAGCCCUACUCUAUAUAUAUAUAUAUAUAUAGUAUUUGCCCUAUCUUGCUAUCAAGUUUUUAGCCUUUGGAUCAAUUUCUUUGAUCAUUUCUAGCUAUUGGAUUAAAUAUUAUAAUCCAGUGGGGACCACUCAAUCCUAGGGGGGUCACUCAACUCUAAGGGACUGAUUUCAUCCUAACCCUAUAAUUUCUCAUCCAAGGAUUAAAAACUUGAUAGCAAAAAGGGCCAAAUACUAUCAAUAGUAUUCCAGCCCAAUUAUAUAUAUAUAUAUAUAUGUGUGUGUGUGUGUGUGUGUGUGUGUGUGUGCGCGCGCGCAUAAUACGGAACUACAUAAUAUCCCUGUGAAGUAGGUAUUUUUUAUGUGCCAUUAGAAUUGUAGUUACUUGCAUUCCUCUGCUGCCAGAGUUACAUAUGGAAAAAAAAAAGUGUUUGUGUAGAUACCCCAGCAGCGGCACGUGCAAAUAAGCAAGGCUUUCAGGGGCACUUAUAAAAAUACCAGGGAUAUACAUACAUUUCACAUAUUUUUAGACAUUGAUAUGCAAGACACUAUGGAUACUAGUUCUUGAACUUCCAUGCUAUUUUUCUUUGUUCCUUCAAAUUCAAAAUUUGGCAACUAGGUGCCCGAAGUCCUUUCAAGUGAUACAAUCCUGUGCACCCUCGUCAUUUCGUGUCUUAAAUGAUGGUGUUCAUAUCAUGUGCUCAAGCAUCCUGUGCAGCAUUGGAUUGAAAAUAAAAGUUCAGUAGCGGGUAUUGCAUUUUACCUCAGAAACUGAUAAACUUAGCUCGGAAACCUUGCCAGACCCCCACUUCCAACUUUAUUUAUCUUUUUUAGUUGACACCACCCUUCUUGGUUUUUGCUUGGUUCCAAGCAAUCAAAAUUUGCGGACCAGCUGGGAGAAAAAGCGCUAGUCCGGGGAAGUUGUUUGGAAAAUUCCUAUCAUCCUAUGCUUAUGAAAACUUCUACAAAAUCCCUGAAGAACUUGGUUAGGUGGUUAUAUUAAUUGUGGGUAUUCGCGACGUGUGAAGACAAGUAAUAAUCCAGCCAUUGUUACUAGUGAGUUCGAACAAGUUUGAGAUUGUCGAAAGUUAAUAUAAUUGGUAACAAGUUUGAGAAAUGGCCUAGAGCUUAGUGUGGGUCCCUAUCAUUGUUUCUUUACAUCGUAGAUUUAUGGUAUAGCUUUGUGAAGAUCCUUUAACACGAAUGCGCUUUUGACAUUCUGCAGUUUCAGCUGUUGGAUCAAUCAAUAUUAGCAACAUUUUGACGGGGAAAUGCAUCGCGAAAAUCUCCACCAGCAAUCCGACGCUCACGAUCAGCCCUCGAAGAAGAGGGGAAGGGGGCCGUUCUUCGGUCCAUAGCACCGUAAGAGAAGCCCUGGAAGACGUCACGGCGUUGUUCUACGACGAGGACAGGAACGAGAUCUACACGGGAAAUAAGCAUGGGUUGAUACAUGUGUGGUCCAAUUAGCCGACGAUCUCUUUGCGACGAAUCUCGGUUUUAGUUUUCUGUGUAAUUUGGUAGGUUCUUUUUGUAAAGAUAUAACCCACUCUUUUCUCCUUUUUUUUUCCCCUUCUUUUUUUGUCAUUUUCAUUUUGCCUUUUGUUUCUUUUUUACUUGUAAGUUCAAAUCGAUUUGUAUUUUUAUGCAGCGAAAUGCCCUAUAGGUACUGAUGUAAUGAACCUUUGCAGUUUUUACCAGACAAUUAAGAUUAUCGGUGUUCUACGUACGCAAAACGGUUAAAACUUCAGUGGAGAGCUACUUAACAAUGUCUUGUUGGGAAACUUUCGAUCUACUGUACUGUCGUGUAUUAAUUUUGCUUUCGUCCAAUGAUUACUGGGUAUUUUUUACUACUAAAUUUUUUUAAAAAAAUUAAAUUCUAGUGGAAAUGAUUAUAACUCUUGGAUAGAAUAAAAGUGACACCUGACAGAUGGAUUGAGACUCAACUCCUGGGAAGCUCCUUGCUUUGGGUUCUAUUUUGUGGAGGUCAAUGUUUCAAUUGUGUCAACAUUUGAGUGUAUAGUAGGCAUGAAAUUAAUUUGAAGCCAAACUCUGAAAUAUCUAAAUAGCUGGUAGCUGAGGAAACUUUUUAUUUUAAUAGCAAAAAGAAAAAGCUCUGUAUGUUCUAUUAUAAAAUAUAAAUUUUACAUUUCAUGAUUCUAUGGUUUAAGUAAUUCUUUUGGAUUUUCCAUAUUAAGAAAAGAGAUAUUGAUAAGAUAAAUAAAUUCUAAGGUUUUAGCAUUGCUCAUUUUAUUAAUAUAUUUAAUUCAUUUGAGGGAAGGAUUUCAAAUCAAAACAAAAAAAAUGUUGUGAUGUUUACUAUUAAAAUGUAAAAAAUAAAAAAAUAUAUAAAGCAGUUUGGAGUCCCUUUUUAAAGUGGUCGUCACGGCUCACAGAUUUCAAAGCGCAAUUUAUGAGUUAUUAUACUUAAUCUAAGAGAAAUAUUACGAAGAAAAAUAAAAGAAAAGAGUUCACUACUAUCUCCUCCUAAAAGAAAAAAAAAAAAUUAUAAAAAGAAAAAAAGAAGAAGAAGAAGGAAAUGGACAGUGUAAAAAUGCCAUAUACAAGGGAGGGUGGAGGGAUCUCUUAAUCUUCCGAUUAGAAAAGAAAACCCCUGGUAUGCAAAGAUUACUCAUAUCUCACCACAUUGCAUUGUUAACAAACCCACCGGUCAUGCCAUUUGCUCUUUCCUUUUCUCUGGUACUAAUGUAAAUCCCCCAUGUUAGCAAGGCUAUUUCUGUCAUUUCAUUCUGCGGAAUAUACAAAAGCAAUGCACACAAGUUAGAAGAAGAUAAUGGCUUAAUAAAUAAAUAAAAAAAAAUAGACAAUUUCUAAUAAGAGAACUAUUAUUUGUACAUUCAAAAAAUACACAUAAUAUUUUAUAUUUUUUUCAAAUUUUAUCGAUUCUUGUUUCACUAUAUUAUUAAUUAAAGAUUUAAAAAUCUCUACCUUGUCUUAUUUUUGAAUGUACUAGUGGCGCGGAAAUGCGAAACCGAUAAGUGAAAUUACCAUUCUGUCCUCGGUGCCGCCGCCGGAGGCUCAUUGGAGCCGGCUUGCUGCCCGACGAGCGCGGCGGCCUCCCGCAUCUCCGGCCGCUGCUCCGGGCUGGCGUCGGUGCACGCCGCGCAGAGCCGCAUGAGGCGCACCGCCGCCUCCGCUCUCCCCGCCGCCGCCGCCGCCGCCGACUGAGCGACGUCGGCGUCCAGCAUCUCGGCCUCGCGGCGCUCCGAUAUCGCCGACGCCAUCCACUGCACGACGUCGGUGCCGCCCUUGGUGUUGUUCAGGUACUGCGAGGGGAAUUUUCCGGUGAGGAGCUCGAGGAGCACGACGCCGAAGCAGUAGACGUCGGACUUGGCGGAGACGCGGCUGCGGUGCUGCAGGGCUUCCGGGGACUUGUAGGCGAGCAUGACGAGCGGGGCCUGAGCUGGGUUGACUAAGCCGAGGAGGCCGAAGUCGGCGACGGCCGGCUGGAAGUCGGCGUCGAGGAGGACGUUGCCCGACUUGAGGUUGCCGUGGGGGACUUCCAGGUCGGCCAGCUCGGCGUGGAGAUACGCCAUCGCGCGGGCAAUUCCCCGCGCGAUCUUCAGCCGCGUCGGCCAGUUCAGCGCCUUAUGAUCCGCCCCUCGGUCCCCUGAACACUAGUUAUUAUUUUAGUACCUCAAUAUAGUUUAUAAAUUUUAGCACACUUGACGUAGGCCUUCGUACUAUUGAUACUAUACCAGUCUAACUCGCUAUAUAUAUAUAUAUAUAGUUCUCUCGAGUCCGGCUAUUAUGCUAUUAAUAGCACAAAGGACUUGGUGCUACCAAGUUUUCCGCCGUUAGAUCUACCCUUUUGAUUAUUUUCACCCGUUAUAUCAUACUAUUCAACCAACCACCCACUCAACUCUAGAGGGUCAACAUCAUCCUAACCACACAUCUCUUAAUCCAAUGGCCAAAAACUUGGUAGCACUAAUAACUUGGUGCUAUUAAUAGCAUAGUAGCCUAGUUCUCAGGUAAUUUUAUUAUCAUAUAUAUAAAAUGUUAAUUUUUUUGAAUUUUUUUUUCAAGUACAUACGACUAAAUAAAUUAUUUAUAAUUACAGUGCUUUCUAUUACAUCCAAUCAAAUAUGAUAUAUAUAAUUAAUUACAACUAUUAUAUUUCUAACUAUAUGCAGUAUAUCUAAUCAAACGCCCCCUCUAAGAUGAAUAGAUGACAGUGUUUUAGCAAAGUUUUGGAAGACAAAAAGGUAGGCUUAGUUAGUUAAUUACCAUGAAGGAGGUAGAGGAGGCUGCCCUUCGGAAUAAACUCGGAAACUAUGAGCUUCUCCUCCUUGCGGUAGUGGUAUGCCAACGGCGUUAAGAUAUUCGGAUGCCGGAGCUGCCCGAGCCGAUGCAUCUCGGCGUCGAACUCUUCCUUGCCGACUCUAUUCAUGUCACGCAUCCUCUUAACCGCGACGGCCAGCCCGCUGGCCAUCACGGCUUUAUACGCGGAGCCAAGGCCGCCGUUUCCGAGCACCUCCGCCGAGGCCUUCAUGAGGUCCGGAAGGCCAAAGACACCUCUCUCUUCAUUAACCAUCGUCAGCUCUGCCGCUGCAUUGCCGCCGCCUCCGCCACCGCCGCCGCCGCCGCGGCUCGACCCUGAGCGCUUCUGCGUCGACGAGCCGCGCUGCUGCAGCAGUUGUUUCUGAUUGCUUACGUCAGCGGAGCCAGCGACAGCGGAUUCCAGCUGUGCAGUAUCGGCUGAUGUAUCGACGCCGAGAGUAUCGAAAACACGGUCGCGGCGGCGGCGGUUGCGCGCCACGAUUAUCGCCAGCAAGAGUGCGACGGCCAGCAACGCUAGCACGGCGAUCACGACGCCGCCGACCUUGUUGUCAUUAUUUCUGCCAUCAUGAGUAGUAGUAGUAGUAGUAGUGGCAUUCUGCGCCGACGGCAAAGCGGUGGGAUUUCCGAGAAACGCCGAGGCGCUGAACCGAGCGACGAGAGACGGUUCCACGGGUGGUCCGGUGAGGCUGUUGUAAGAAACGUUGAGCUGUUUGAGGGAGGGGGGGAGCGUGGUCGGGAGGGGCCCGUCGAGGCGGUUGUGGUCGAGGCGGAGCUCGAGGAGGCGGGUGGCGUUGGCGAGGGAGGCGGGGAUGGGGCCGGAGAAGGCGUUGUUGUCGAGGUAGAGCUUCUUGAGGUGGGGCAUGGAGGAGAAGAGGGAGGUGGGGAGGGGGCCGGAGAGGGAGUUGCCGGCGAGGCUGAUGGAGCGGAGGGCGGGGAAGCGGGCGAGGGCGGCGGGGUCGAAGGAGCCGGAGAGGCCGAGGCCGGAGAGGCGGAGGCCGGUGAGGAUGCCGCGGAAGCAGACGAGGCCCGGCCAGGGGGAGGAGGGGUCGCAGGGAGGGCUGCCGGCGGCGGCGGAGGACGACCAGGCGGAGAGGGCGGUGGCGUCGGCGUUGGGGAAGGAGGACUUGAAGAGGAGGAGGGCUGCCGCGUCGGAGGGAGGAGCGGCCGCCGCCGUCGGAAGAUCCGACAGCAGUGAUAGGAGGAGGAGGAGCGUAGAUGAGAGGAGAAUGACGGAGACGGCAGCGGCCAUUCGUGGAUGAAUCUUGGGGCCGCCGCUGCUCAUUGACGGGCUUUCUUAAUUUCAAUCUUUUGUCCUUUUUUUUCUCUAGCUUUCUGUUUGUUGGAAUUUUUUUUUUCUUUUUUUUAAUUUGCUACAAUGCAAUUAGGAGAGAGAGAGAGAGAGAGAGAGAGAGAGAGAGAGAGAGAGAGAGAGGUGGCUGUGAAACAAAAGCUAAGAAUAGAAAAACAGGGCCUAAGAGGAUGUUAAUUGGCAUUAUUGGUACAAUUGACCAGGUCAAUGAGGGGGGAAGGUUAUUAUUUACUAACUUGGUGUUUUUGACAGUGAAUUUUUAAAUAUGCUCCUAAGGGGGCCGUUUGGAUUGGGGAUAAGGGGUAGAAUAACCCUUUAUCCCCUUUAUACUCAAACACUAAUUUUUUAUUCGAGAAUAGUAAUUUUUGAAUAUCUAAAAUAAGCUGGUAUAACUAUUCCAUCAACUCCUUCAUUUUUUAUAUAUAGACCCACUAUUUUUCUUAUACUAUAUUAUCUAUCCAAACGCUAUUUUUCUUAUCCUUGAGAACAACCUCAUUUUUAUUCAAACGCUAUUUUUCUUAUUCACAUACUUGUAAUUAUUCCUGUUAAUAGCUAGUUUUUAUUUAUAUCCGAACCAAACGAUGCCUAGCUAAAGUUCAAAUCUUUCAAAAUAGUUUUUUAUACGACAAUAUUAUUCACUAAUAACAAUAUU
rnacentral:lncRNA from 1 species